GCCUACGGGGGGCAGCAGUAGGGAAUUUUCGUCAAUGGGCGCAAGCCUGAACGAGCAAUGCCGCGUGAACGAGGAAGGUCUUCGGAUCGUAAAGUUCUGUUGAAGGGGAAAAAGAGCGGAGAGAGGAAAUGGUCUCCGAUUGAUAUUACCCUUCGAGGAAGUCACGGCUAACUACGUGCCAGCAGCCGCGGUAAUACGUAGGUGGCGAGUGUUAUCCGGAAUGAUUGGGCGUAAAGGGUGCGUAGGCGGCCUGCUAAGUCUGGAGUGAAAGGUACCGGCUCAACCGGUACAGGCUCUGGAAACUG
rnacentral:rRNA from 1 species